rnacentral:ncRNA from 21 species
ACUUCGCAAACGUAUUUUGGUGGUGUUUUUUGUUUUUAAAAACACCUUAAAAGGGAAUCAGGUGCUUCUUUGUAAAAAUCCUGAGCUGUUCCCGCAACUGUAAGCUUAGUUCGUAAAAGAACGGUAAAGAUCGUCUUACACCACUGUCAAUAUUGAUGGGAAGGUUUGAUCUUUAUACGCGAGCCAGGAGACCUGCCAGAAGAAACUAAUAACUA